rnacentral:rRNA from 1 species
UACGUAGGGACCAAGCGUUGUUCGGAUUUACUGGGCGUAAAGGGCGCGUAGGCGGCAAUUCAAGUCAGCUGUGAAAUCUCCGGGUUUAACUCGGAACGGUCAGCUGAUACUGCUUUGCUAGAGUGCAGAAGGGGCAAUCGGAAUUCUUGGUGUAGCGGUGAAAUGCGUAGAUAUCAAGAGGAACACCUGAGGUGAAGACGGGUUGCUAGGCUGACACUGACGCUGAGGCGCGAAAGCCAGGGGAGCAAACGGGG